rnacentral:rRNA from 1 species
UCGACCUAGUUCAGGCACGAAC